AAAUUGUUCAUGGAGUGGUCUGUGAAGACCUUCGGAGGGAGUUGUAUCCCCGUGGAGUGGCAAUCAAGGCAUCGUUCUGAGACCUGCACUGGAAUACCGCGUCGAGUCCUUGCUCAUCCCCACGAAUGCUUUGGGUUUCGCUGUGAUGUGUGUGCAGCUGUAUAUGGGCCUGUUGGGGCUGAUACAGCAGUCAUUCUUUCCAAGAAAUCUU
ensembl:lncRNA novel transcript